UAACGAACGAGAUCUUAACCUGCUAAUUAGCGGUAAAUACACUAUAUUCUUAAGUGAAAUUAGAAUAUAGAUAAAUUGUGCUAAUUUUGAUUAAAAUAUUAGAAUGUUUUUUUUAAUAAAAACGUUCUUUUCCCUUUUUUUCUUAAUUAUGCAUAUUUAUUUUUUUUCUUCUUUUGCAUAAGAAUGUAUUUGCUUAAUUGUAAAGCUUCUUAGAGGAACA
rnacentral:rRNA from 1 species